UACGUAGGGUGCAAGCGUUGUCCGGAAUUAUUGGGCGUAAAGAGCUCGUAGGCGGUUUGUUGCGUCGGCUGUGAAAUCCCGAGGCUCAACCUCGGGUCUGCAGUCGAUACGAGCAAACUAGAGUGUUGCAGGGGAGACUGGAAUUCCUGGUGUAGCGGUGAAAUGCGCAGAUAUCAGGAGGAACACCGGUGGCGAAGGCGGGUCUCUGGGCAACAACUGACGCUGGAGGAGCGAAAGCCGUGGGGAGCGAAACAGG
rnacentral:rRNA from 1 species